rnacentral:lncRNA from 1 species
AUAUAUCGUUUUUAAGGCAUGAGCUAAAUAGCAGAACAUUUGACUUGUUUACUUGUGGACAUGUAAUAGAUAAGUUGAGGUGAGUUAAUAUAUAGUGUUUGAAUGGUUUUUAGCUACUUGUUUCUUGAUCAUUUAGGUUUUUUUUCUCGCGCAUUAAGAUGUUUUGGUGAAUAUACAUGUCCAUUUGAGUGCAUUAAUUCUUGGAGUGGUUCCAUUGGAGUUUGGAGCGGUUUGGGACGGAAUAGAGCAGAAAACAAAGAAAUGAGUGAAGGAAUGGCUUGGUGUGCAGACAUUGGCAACAGAUGAAAGGAGGCCAUGAUGGCUAUAAGCUGGUUUGGGGGGGGGGGGGGGGUGUUGUCGUGGUAAGGAUCUGGCCACCGCAGAGGAGCUUUUGUGGUAGAGAAAUAGUAUUGGAUGUAGGUUGAUCGCAGGCUUAUAUCAUGGUUGAGAGCGGGUGGCAAAGGUACAAGACGGCUGCAGGUGACCAACGAGGCUGGAACAAGGUCGCCGAUGAGAAAUUGGAUCUUGGUCGAGAGAGUGCAAUUUUAGAUAGGUGAUUCUGUGAUCCAAGUUUGUGGAAGAUGUUGGCCAUACUAUUUGAAUACUCGUUACGGGAAAGGCCAUGGCGCGAUUAUGAAGGAAGGCAGGCCACAUGACACAGAUGGGGGUCAAAUCAGGGCGCGACCAAGAAACGAUGGAUCAACAAGAUGGGCCCGCGGUCUAUGGCCGAGGUUAAAGCAGGCUGUGAGGGAAGAAGUAUGGCCACAGGUGGAUAUCGAAGAUGGGAGCAGACUGCUGUCGGCAUGACGGGCAGAUUUUAACUAUGAAUGUUGGGUUGACCUGGUAUGACUUUUAGAUUUUGUCUAUAAAUUUCAGAAGAAAACUAGAUCUUACUCUUUUUUUUAAAGAAAAGUUGCUACAAUUGUUAAAGUUUGGAUAUUUUAUCUUUUUUUUUUUUAUCUUUUUGUAAGUUUAAUUGUGAUUAACUACUUGUCUAGUAUGUUUAUCCCUAAUUGUUUCAUGUGUUUAAGAGAUUUCAUGAUAAUUAGUGAGUAUUCACUUGAUAGACUUAUGAGUUAGAAUGAUAAGGUUGAUUUGUAAUGAUGUAGGAUGAUUUGUGCUUAAUAUAUAUGAUCCUUACUUGAUUGGUGUUUUCAUGAUAAACUAGGGUUGAAAACCCAUAAAUCUAGAUUUUAGGUUUUUUUUGUUCACGGAAGGUGUUCCGUGAAAUACUUGAAUGAAAUAUUCUUAUUGCUUAGCAUCUUAGGCCUAUGGAAAUUGAUUCAUAAAAUCAUUUGUGGUUGAAUGGAGUUAGAAUAAUGCAUACUUACUUAUAAUUAACCAAUGAAAUUGAUGUUAGUUAACUAAUGUAUGGAUUACGAUCAUGAAGGGGAUUAAUUUUCUUGUGUGUUCCUAAACCUAAG